CGCCUCUKGACUARCMMURASAGGUCAAGCCUGCCCAGUGACAUUGUUCAACGGCCGCGGUAUCCUAACCGUGCGAAGGUAGCGUAAUCACUUGUCCUUUAAAUAAGGACUAGUAUGAAUGGCUUCACGAAAGCUAUACUGUCUCCUUUAUUUAAUCAGUAAAACUAAUCUCCCCGUGAAGAAGCGGGGAUCCACCUAUAAGACGAGAAGACCCUGUGGAGCUUUAAACACUUUAAAACAUUUGAAUUUUAUUCCACUAACCCAUCUCCACUAAAUUACUCAUUUUGUUUUAAAUUUUAGGUUGGGGUGACCACGGAGAAUAAACUAACCUCCACGUAGAAAGAAUCUUCUCUUCUAAGCAAAAAAUCACAUUUUUAUGCAUCAAAAUUUUUGACCUAAAUUGACCCAAUUUUUUGAUCAACGGACCAAGUUACCCUAGGGAUAACAGCGCAAUCCGCUUUAAGAGCUCCUAUCGACAAGCGGGCUUACGACCUCGAUGUUGGAUCAGGGUAUCCUAGUGGUGCAGCAACUACUAAUGGUUUCKUYUGUYCMACKWUUAAAACCCU
rnacentral:rRNA from 1 species